rnacentral:rRNA from 1 species
CCUACGGGACGCAGCAGUAGGGAAUCUUCCACAAUGGACGAAAGUCUGAUGGAGCAACGCCGCGUGAGUAAAGAAGGGUUUCGGCUCGUAAAGCUCUGUUGGUAGUGAAGAAAGAUAGAGGUAGUAACUUGCCUUUAUUUUACGGUAAUUAUUUAGAAAGUCACGGCUAACUACGUGCCCGCAGCCGCGGUAAUACGUAGGUGGCAAGCGUUGUCCGGAUUUAUCGGGCGUAAAGCGAGUGCAGGCGGUUCUAUA